rnacentral:rRNA from 1 species
CACGUAGGUGGCAAGGUAAGUCAAAGGUGAAAGCCCUCGGCUCAACCGAGGAAUUGCCUUUGAAACUGCUUUGCUUGAGUCCGGGAGGGGGGAGCGGAAUUCCCAGUGUAGCGGUGAAAUGCGUAGAUACUGGGAGGAACACCGGUGGCGAAGGCGGCUCCCUGGACCGGUACUGACACUGAGGUGCGAAAGCGUGGGUAGCAAACA